rnacentral:rRNA from 1 species
ANNNUUUCCGGUUGAUCCUGCCGGAAGUCACUGCUAUCGGGGUUCGAUUAAGCCAUGCGAGUCGAGAGGGUUCGGCCCUCGGCGUACUGCUCAGUAACACGUGGAUAACCUGCCCUAAGGAAGGGGAUAACCCCGGGAAACUGGGGAUAAUACCCUAUAGGUUAUAGAUGCUGGAAUGCUCUGUAACUCAAAGUUCCGGCGCCUUAGGAUGGAUCUGCGGCCGAUUAGGUUGUUGUUGGGGUAAUGGCCCAACAAGCCUGUAAUCGGUACGGGUUGUGGGAGCAAGAGCCCGGAGUUGGAUUCUGAGACACGAAUCCAGGCCCUACGGGGCGCAGCAGGCGCGAAAACUUUACAAUGCGGGCAACCGUGAUAAGGGAACCUCGAGUGCCUGUAUAUGCAGGCUGUCCAGGUGUCUAAAACACACCUGAAGAAAGGGCCGGGCAAGACCGGUGCCAGCCGCCGCGGUAAUACCGGCGGCUCGAGUGGUGGCCACUUUUAUUGGGCUUAAAGCGUUCGUAGCUGGGUUGUUAAGUCUCUUGGGAAAUCUGGCGGCUUAACCGUCAGGCGUCUAAGGGAUACUGGCAAUCUUGGAACCGGGAGAGGUGAGGGGUACUUCGGGGGUAGGAGUGAAAUCCUGUAAUCCUCGAGGGACCACCUGUGGCGAAGGCGCCUCACCAGAACGGCUUCGACAGUGAGGGACGAAAGCUGGGGGAGCAAACCGGAUUAGAUACCCGGGUAGUCCCAGCCGUAAACGAUGUGCGUUAGGUGUAUCGACGACCACGAGUCGUCGAGGUGCCGAAGGGAAACCGUGAAACGUACCGCCUGGGAAGUACGGUCGCAAGGCUGAAACUUAAAGGAAUUGGCGGGGGAGCACCACAACAGGUGGAGCCUGCGGUUUAAUUGGAUUCAACGCCGGA